GACGAACGCUGGCGGCGUGCUUAACACAUGCAAGUCGAACGGAAAGGCCCGGCUUUUGUGGGGUGCUCGAGUGGCGAACGGGUGAGUAACACGUGAGUAACCUGCCCUUGACUUUGGGAUAACUUCAGGAAACUGGGGCUCAUACCGGAUAGGAUCUCCUGCUGCAUGGUGGGGGUUGGAAAGUUUCGGCGGUUGGGGAUGGACUCGCGGCUUAUCAGCUUGUUGGUGGGGUAGUGGCUUACCACGGCUUUGACGGGUAGCCGGCCUGAGAGGGUGACCGGCCACAUUGCGACUGAGCUACGGCCCAGACUCCUACGGGACGCAGCAGUGGAGAAUAUUGCACAAUGGGCGGAAGCCUGAUGUAGCAACGCCGCGUGCGGGAUAACGGCCUUCGGGUUGUAAACCGCUUUCGCCUGUGACGAGGCGUGAGUGACGGUAAUGGGUAAAGAAGCCCCGGCUAACUACGUG
rnacentral:rRNA from 1 species